UCCCCUCUAGUAUGCCCUCUUGCGAAUUCGUCUGAGAUUUUUCUAUUAUUUUUGAAUUUGUCUCAUAUUCUCUAGCCUAGAGAAUUCUUUAGAGAUCUUUCGUCUUGAUUUUUAACCUUGCAGCCAUAAUCGUCCACUUGCAAUACUCUGAAGGAUCUUUGUCUUGAAAGAGCAUUGACACCUGAACUUGGGGAGUUGGCUUACAUAAAAUCUAUACCAAUGCAACAACAAAAAAUUAGAUGAAUUCAAUGGGGCCAAUUCCGUUACCAGAAUGGCAACCUCUGUCAUUGCAAACAUCUAAAGAAUAGGGACCAAAGACGCAAUGUAUUUCUCUCGCAUUGGUGGCUGUCUGUUAUUUGGUGGCCAAUGAAACAGGUGCUAACUGAGUUGGCGGUGACGAAAAUGGUGGGUGAUGCAAAACAGAACGAUGGGCGACGGAUUUUGCAGUGACGGUGUGGAGUUUGUGAGGGUCCCUAACUUUCUAUUGAAGUUGAGUGAUUUUCGUGCAGAGGGAAUGCAGAAAUUUUGAUUUCAUCCAGUGUGUUCAUCCUUAAAGUUUUUAUGUGGGAUUAUUGACGUGGCAGACUCCUAUUGGAUGUUGUUAAACGCUUAGCAACAGACAGACCGUUGCAAAGCGGAACUGAAAUGAAAAUAGAACAUGAAAUCUUCGCCCCUAAUAUUAUUUUCCCAGCGUUUCCCAGCACUAGCUGGACUCAAACCAGGAACGUGGCUUUGAUUAUCUUUGAUCAAAA